CUUCUUUUCCUGUAGCAGGUAUCUGCAGCAGCCUGGCUCUUUGUUACCCUGUCUCUUCCCUCCCUAGGUGCUCUGAAGGUAUGAAUCCAUAGGGCUGGCCGUGUUUCAGCGGGAAGCAGCUCCGGCAGGACCCGCUGUGUAAUUCUGCACGUGCCACGCGGUUGGCUGCCUGCCUGGCAUCCCUGCCAGGGCCGUGUCAUGUGGAAAAGUUUGAAGAUAAAUCUGAUGCGGUAUUUGAUAUUACAGAAAAAUGUGGUGAAAUUCUGGAUGCAGAGAUGUCUGAGGAUGCUGACCACAACUUAACACCCGCCCUCGAGAGCUUGUCUUACGGAGUACCGAAUCGAGCAGGACCUGAAAAUUCACUGCAGGGUGAUGAUCAUGAUUAUUUUCUGAACUCUGGGGAUCUUGCAGGCAUACCUGUUGUUGGGAGUGACAACGAAGAUGAGCAGAAUUUCACUCCAAAAGACACUCUUUCUUCAGCAAUUCGUGAUGAAGAUCAUCUGGAAGAGGGCAAGAGAGUUCCAGAUCACAAACUGGACAGUGAGAAAGAAAUUCAGGGUCAGAAUGCAAUCCAGAAGGAUCUCACUUCUCCCUUUGAACAGGGCCCUGUGUUUAAACCACUUCGAAAAGAUUUUAGCAUAACACGAGAUAAUGGCAAAGAGACUUUUUCAGCAAAGGACAAGAAUAGAGAAGGACAUUUUCAAGAAUGUGAAAAACAGUUGGAAAAAAUCCCUAAAGAUGUGGAUUCUAGGUUGAAAAGUGGUUUUCUUGACAAUACAGUUCAUAAUCAAGUAGAAGAAACAUUACGGACGCAGUUAGCGCCACAAACUCCAGAAACUAACUUCAGGGAGUCUAGCUACCUAUUUUCUAGUAAGGAAUCUAUUGGACAAGAGCUGGGGAAUUCCUUUGCACCAAAUAUUAGAAUUAAGAAGGAGCCUUUGGAUGACGAAUAUGCUAAAGCUAUGGCCCCACAGCAGGGACUAUUAGACAAAAUUAAAGAUGAACCUGGUAAUUCUGAGGAGUACGGCCAACAACCAAAAUCUCAGGAAGGGGAGCUGAAAAUCAGUGCUGUUUUUUCAGUCAGUGGCAAUCCUUUUGUUCCACAGCUGUCAUCAGGUUUCCAGCCUGCUGUGGCAUCCUCUGGCAUGAGUAAAAUGCUGCCCUCAGUUCCAAGCACAGCUGUUCGGGUUUCCUGUUCUGGCUGUAAAAAAAUCCUGCAGAAGGGGCAAACUGCCUACCAGAGGAAAGGCUCAACCCAGCUCUUCUGCUCCACACUGUGCCUCACUGGAUAUACCAUUCCAGCUUCUCGCCCACCAGCUUCCACCAAGAAAACCUGCUCAAGCUGCUCAAAAGAAAUUCUAAAUCCAAAGGACGUAAUCACUGCCCAGUUUGACAACACAGGCUCCAGUAAGGAUUUCUGCAGCCAGUCUUGUCUGUCCACAUAUGAACUGAAGAGGAAACCCAUUGUCACUAUACACACCAACAGCAUUUCCAGCAAGUGCAGCAUGUGCCAGAAGAAUGCAGUGAUCAGGCACGAGGUGAAUUACCAGAAUGUGGUGCACAAGCUCUGCAGCGAUGCCUGUUUCUCCCAGUUCCGCUCGGCCAACAACCUGACCAUGAACUGCUGUGAAUAUUGUGGAGGAUACUGCUACAGUGGCUCUGGCCAGUGUCAUGUCAUGCAGAUAGAGGGACAGUCCAAAAAGUUCUGCAGUUCUGUAUGUGUGACAGCUUACAAGCAGAAGUCAGCUAAAAUUACACCCUGCACACUGUGUAAAUCUCUGAGAUCUUCAGCUGAGAUGGUGGAGAGCACAAAUAACUUGGGGAAGACAGAACUGUUUUGUUCUGUUAACUGUUUGUCAGCAUACAGAGUAAAAAUGGUCACUUCUUCAGGUGUUCAAGUUCAGUGCAACAGCUGUAAAACCUCAGCAAACCCUCAGUAUCACUUGGCUAUGUCAGAUGGGAGCAUACGCAAUUUUUGCAGCUACAAUUGUGUAGUAGCUUUUCAGAAUCUGUUCAACAAACCUGCAGGACUGAACUCCUCAGUGGUGCCCCUGUCUCAGGGCCAGGUCACUGUGAGCAUCUCCUCGGGGACAGUGGUCUCAGCCACUGGCACCACCUCAACUGUGUCCCCCAGCUCCACAAGCACCUCAGCUGCAGCAGGGCUCCAAAAGUUGGCUGCCCAGUGCCAGCAGGUCACCUUUACCCGCUCUGUUGUGAAAAUAAAGUGUCAGCACUGUAACAGAUCGUUUGCCACCAAACCAGAACUGCUUGACUACAAGGGUAAAAUGUUCCAGUUCUGUGGGAAGACCUGCUGUGAUGAGUAUAAGAAGAAGGGCAAUAUGACAGCUUUGUGUGAAUACUGCAGGUUUGAGAAAAUUAUCAAGGAGACAGUGAGAUUCUCAGGCAUAGAUAGAACAUUCUGUAGUGAAGUUUGUAAACUGCUCUAUAAACACGACUUGUCUAAGCGCUGGGGAACCCACUGUAAAAUGUGCAGUUACUGUUUACAAACUUCCCCCAAACUGGUCCAGAAUCAUUUUGGGGAUAAAAGGGAGGAAUUUUGCUCAGAGGAGUGCAUGUCUAAAUUCACAGUUUUGUUUUACCAGAUGGCAAAGUGUGAUGGUUGUAAGAGACAAGGUAAACUCAACGAGUCCAUCAAAUGGCAAGGGGAGAUGAAGCAUUUUUGCAAUCUGCUUUGUAUUCUGUUGUUUUGUAAACAGCAAGGUGCUUCUGACGUUCCACUCCCAAACAACACAGCAAACCUUUCCAUGGCACCAGCCUCCUCCUCAGGCCCUCCUUCUUUAAGAAAGGACUCAACCCCUGUCAUAGCAAACGUGGUGUCCCUUGCAAGCACCCCAGCUGCCCAGCCUACUGUUAACUCCAACAAUGUUUUACAGGGUGCAGUCCCUACUGUGACAGCAAAAACAAUAGGAGAUGCAAGUACCCAGACAGAUGCCCUAAAGCUCCCAUCAUCAAAACCACCCAGGCUUCUGAAAAACAAAGCUUUAUUGUGUAAGCCAAUCACCCAGACUAAGGCCACCUCCUGCAAACCUCACACACAAAACAAAGAAUGCCAGACAGAAGAAGAAGUACCUGCUCAGCCCCAGAUCAUUGUGGUACCUGUUCCUGUACCAGUGUUUGUGCCAGUGCCCCUCCACCUCUAUACCCAGUACACACCAGUUCCCCUAGGGAUGCCAGUACCUGUACCAGUUCCUGUGCUCAUCCCAACUACCCCAGAUAAUGCUGAUAAGAUCACUGAAAAUAUUCAGGAAAACAAGGAAAAGGUUUCCAUUAAUCCAUUUGAAGCUGAUCUCCUUCAGAUGGCAGAAAUGAUUGCAGAAGAUGCAGAGAGAGAAAAAACACACUCUCAUGGUGGAUCUCAAACAUCCGAGCACGAGCUCUUCCUGGACCCCAAGAUAUUUGAGAAAGACCAGGGCAGCACAUACAGCGGAGAUCUGGAAUCAGAAGCAGUGUCCACUCCACACAGCUGGGAGGAGGAGUUGAAUUACUACACCUUACGAUCCAAUGCCCUGCCAGAACCUGAUCCAGAACUCAAGCAGUUCUCCAAAGGUGAUGUGGAACAGGAUCUGGAGGCAGAUUUCCCAUCAGACUCAUUUGACCCUCUCAGUAAAGGACCAGCUUUACAUUCACGUUCACGGGCAAGACGGAGACACAGGGAUGGCUUCCCACAGCCAAAAAGACGGGGACGGAAGAAGUCUGUAGUUGCUGUGGAGCCCCGGAAUUUGAUGCAGGGCUCCUACCCUGGCUGCUCUGUUUCUGGGAUGACCCUAAAGUACAUGUAUGGGGUAAACGCCUGGAAAAACUGGGUCCAAUGGAAAAAUGCACAGGAGGAACAAGGGGACCUGAAGUUUUCAGUUCAUCCUGUGAAGCUCAAGGAGGACAUUCUCUCAUGCACAUUUGCUGAGCUGAGUUUUGGUUUGUGCCAGUUUAUUCAAGAGGUGCGGAGACCAAACGGAGAAAAAUACGACCCUGACAGCAUCUUAUACUUGUGCCUUGGAAUUCAGCAGGUUAUAUGUUCUCAAGAAUUGAAGAGGAACACUUGUGGGAAUGUAAGCAGCUGGGUGCAUAUUCCCCCAUCGUUUUGUUGAACACCCUUCUGUUCUUCAACACCAAAUACUUCCAACUAAAGAAUGUCAGUGAGCACAUGAAACUGUCCUUUGCCCAUGUCAUGAGGCGCACCCGAACUCUGAAGUAUAAUACUAAGAUGACAUAUUUACGUUUUUUCCCACCCUUUCAAAAACAAGAGGUAGAAUCAGAUAAAUUAUCAGUAGGCAAAAGGAAACGCAGUGAAGAUGAGGAGGUUCCAACAGCAGUGGAAAUGGCUGAAAACACAGAUAAUCCCCUCCGGUGUCCAGUCCGACUUUAUGAAUUUUACUUAUCAAAAUGUUCUGAAAGCGUGAAGCAGAGGAGUGAUGUGUUCUACCUGCAGCCUGAGCGCUCCUGUGUUCCCAACAGCCCCAUGUGGUAUUCCACAUUGCCAAUAGACCCAGGAACCUUGGACAUCAUGUUAACACGGAUUCUUAUGGUGAGGGAGGUACACGAAGAACUUGCCAAAGUCAAAUCAGAGGACUCUGAUAUUGAGUUAUCAGACUAACUGCAGUGGGGUAUUUUUCUUUGAAUACACAUCAGAAGCACCAAAAUGUGAAUACGUCCAGCCUUUGGAAAAUGUGUAUCAAAUAAGCCAAGAUGAUGUCGCCUACAGUCAGAUUUUGUACUACAUUGGAUGUACAAACUGGAACUGGAAGGAAGCAAGCUGUGUAAGCUGCAACUCCCAACGUGUCCUGUAGCACCGAUCAAUCCUCAGAACAAAUCCAAGUGGAACUCACCUAUUGGAUUGGUGCAUAAAUCCUUUAUCUGUUUAGGAUUUUUAAAAGUUGUGAGAUAUUUUUAAGAAAAAUGCUUGUGUAAAACCUACCCUCACACUGUUGGGCAUGGAGAGUUAGAUUGUGGCUCAGGUGACUUCCCAGCCUGCUGGCUGACAGCCCUUGCUGCCAAGGAACGUGUGGAGAUCCUCGAGCUCUUCCAGAGGAUACAAGAGAAAGGGGUGAGGUUUAGACAAACAGACACCUUCCGUUAUAAAUACACCUACACAUACACUUCUGUAUUUUUUUUAUUUUUUUUUUUAACUGGGAUCAAAUGUUGGGAAGGCAGGAGUCACUGGCCAUCCCAGUGGACAACUCUGGCUGCUGUUAACUGAUCACACAAGGCCAGACACCCGCUCCAGGCUCACACCAACUCUCACUCUGUUGGAAGAGGUGCUGUAGGUCAAACUUCCGAGUGACCUUUUGGGGAAUGUCCAGGGGGGGUUGUCCUGUGCAGAAUCCCUUGCCCAGCCCAGUAGCUCUGCAGCCUGUCCAUAUAACCCAGCAAAUACUGUGGUGCGCGGAAAGGUUAUUUCCCUUAAGGCAGCUUUCCUUUCUCCUCUUUCCCUACUCCUAUGGUUUUGAUUAUUUUGUAAGGCAAAUCUAGAGAGGACUUUGUCAUUUCAAACAGAAAUACACACACACUCUUUCUCUUUCCACCUUUGCAAUGCAGGCAGUGUUGUACAAAGGAUGCAGUAUUACUUCUGAAAACAGAACUGUGGUAGAAAAUGACCAUGUGUGUUUUUAUCCCACCCCACCCAAAGAGAUUUAGUCAUAGUGUUGGAAAUUGAAAGAGAUUUUUUUUUAAGACUUGGCUGUUACUGAGUCUUUUGGAAGAGAAAAGCUCCCAUGUGAUGUUUAGAGGACAGGACAUUAUCAGAGACUGUAUGUCUGUUUUCUCAAGCUCUAGGUGUGUGUUUCUGAUGACCAGUGGUCACAAAUUCAUUGGAAACCCAAACUAUUUUUAAAGAGGAGAAUUGUAUGGUUUUUAUCGAGCUCUGGUCAGUUAUCCAUCUUCUGUAACAGGGGUCUGAUAUUUGAGCUUGUCACUAAAAUUUCAAGAGAUGAAAAUCAACAGCCUUGAAUAAUAUUUCAGAUUUUUUGUUUUGUUUUGGUUGGUUGGUUUUUUUUAAAUAUUUUUUUAGCAGUUACAAAAGUAAUUUAACAAAAAUAAAAUCAGAAAGUAGUCUAUUGACGUUGUGUACUCAGUAGUCCUGUCCCUGCCUGUAACAGAUUUCACUGAUGUAUUUUUUAAUACAGAAAAUUCUGUGAAAAGUAAAACCUGCCCCUGAUUCUGACUGACCAAAGCCCAUCUGUGUCUGUCAUUUCUGAGCAAAGGUUCUGCUUUCUCCAUGGUCUGGCAUUCCCAGGGGAGAUGUUUUUGCCACUCAGCACAGGCAUUUUCCUGCCAGCUCAGUUCUUGUUCCAUGAACACCAAUCUGCCCCUCCCCAUUGUCACAUUAAAUAGUGAAAUUGCAGGCAGAGUGGUUUGCAUUGGGAAAGUUCAGAGAAAACAAAGCCAUUCUGGAAUGAUCAGUUUGUAGGGGAUUAAAAAUGUCUGAGGGGUGUCUGCUGCACACAGGUGAGCCCAGAGCCUUGGUGGCUGUUACACAGGGGAGACUCCAGGAAUUUCUGCGUCUCCUGGGCGGCUGCUGGGGGUGCAGCAUGCUGUCCUUGCCUGCUCCUCCUUCCCUGACCCCCCUGGGAAUGAGCAUGGCAGUAGUGAGGACAGGCUGUGGGGAGGGCAGGCUUUUCUUGGGUGGGAUGGUGUGAAAAAUAAUCCCAAAAUUGAGUGUUCCUUAACAAACAUUAACAGAAAUAUUCCCAUAGAAUAACAUAGGAUAUUUGUACCUUAUGAGAAACACAUUUAUUUCUUUGAACAUUCUCACUGUCUCUUGUCUGGGAGCAUUUUCUUUGAGGUCAAUGUUUUGCAGACACUUAGAAUGAAAGAUACUUGCCCUUCAGAUUCUCUCAGCAAGGCAAGUGAUAUCACUUUCACUGGCUGAGAGCAGAGUUGUUAAACAUUGUGUGAACUCCCUUGACAUGGUGGUUGUGACAUAAGAAACAUUUCAUUGCAAUUCCAUAGUAAUAAUUAACACAGUAAGUAGUUGUAGUUUCAAUUUCACUCCUGCUUGGAGGCCCUUUGGCAAUGGUCUGCUUUUCCCAGGGUUUGCCUGGGCUGUAUUUUCCUCUUGAGAGAUUUCUUGUCAGCCCAGCUCAAGUUCACACUGAUACACAGGAAGGAUUACCUUAAAGGAUUAAAGUAUAUUUGUAGUUUAUACACACAGGCUCCAAGUUCUGAACACAAACUUGUUUGUAAUUGACAUUUCUGAUUGCUAAGCACACAAGAUUUAUUGAGAUAUUCUUUUAAACAGAAAAAUCACACUGUGUCCUGCUGAAUCCCAGAGUUAACUGGGCUGGAAAAGACCUUUGAGACCAUCGAGUCCACCCUGAGGCCCUGACACCAGCUUGUCAACCAGACCAUGGCACUGAGUGCCACAUCCAAUCUUUUCUUAAACUGUAGUUUCUGUGUGGACAGAGAAGCAAUAAAGAUGGGUGUGAGAAAAACAGAAAACUUCCUGCCACCAGAGUGGCAGCAGCUCCCAGUGCAGGGGGUGUUCAGUGCAAACCUGCUGCUCCAUCCUGGCUUCAAUUCACUUAAAGAAGGGAACUUGGGACACGUUGAAAGCCACAAAACUAGGUGCAAAAGGAAGUUAUAUUACCUUGGGAAUUACUCUGUCAACUACUGCUAAAAAAGCCACCCCAGGAUUUCUCUGGAAUAGUUUCUAACUCCUUGGAGACUUAAAACAGCAGGAAAUUCCUCAUCACAGGUCCAUAGGUGUGCUGCUGGUUCAGUGCCAGGGCUCACAGAGGUGACUCAGAGGAAUGUGCAAUAAAGGCUUUCUUUUUUUUUUUUGUAACAAUUUCAUUAACGUCCCAGUCCCCUAAGCAGCAGUUUCACUGUUGCCAUAACAACCAAAGAACCCAGAACAAAUGCUUGUGCACUGAAUGCUUACUGUGCUUAUAACCGUCUGGCAUGGCUGGAGUUUUGCUCCCCUCAGCACUACAGGUUCCUCCCCAUUCUUCCUUGACCUGUCAUCCAUUUUAAACAUUCCAGAGGCAAAACAAAGACUUGCUGUCUCCAUUAAAGAGCUGCUUCCUAGCAGUACUUCCCCUUGUUGCAUCAUCAGCCUUAUAAGAUGAUAUGUAAGAAAUGUUUUGAGCCGUUGAGCUCCUGAGCAUUAACUGUUGUUUUGUUGUUUUUACCUGUAUAUGAGCACCAAAAGUAUGUAAAAAUCAUGGACCAUUGCUGAGGAGAAAGGCUAGAAGGAAUUUUGGGAGCACUGAAAUAGGUGUGUUGUGCCUCUGAGAGCUGCAGGUCUUGUCUCACAUUGUCAGAGCUUCAUAACUCAACAGGUGAUGUGACAGAGGAGUCCCCACAGGAUCCCCUCCUUUGCCUUACAGGGAAAUCCCUUUGGUCCAGCACCACAGCCACAGGGCUGGACAGGUAGGACUGACACUGCUUUUGCAUCUUCCCCAGGAGGAAACAACUGGCUUGGAAACAGUGGGGAGGUCAGAUAGUUUUGCAUGAUAUUACUGUACUUGUUAUGAAGUUGAUCCCAGCCCUUUUUUAGGUGGACUUUUUUAAACUAAGGGAGAAAUCCCUCAUUUAGUCUGACCACUAACACAAACUUCUUCCAGCAGCAGAGCUAUAAGAACUUGCCUUUUUAUCUCCAGUUUCCCCACCCAAGGAGCAUUCCAGAAGUUUUCUGUUGUGUUAUGCUUUCAGAGGGAACUGGUUUGGACAUGCCAGGAAGAACAAGUGACAGAAGAGCUGUUGCAAGGUGCUGGGAAGGUGCUCUGGGGAGGCAGGUAAUUGAUGGUACAUGGCAAAACACUAAUAUAAAGUCCCUAAGAUUCAUGGUUUUAUAUUCAAAACAUCUCAUUGAGGAGGUCCUUGAUGCUCAGCCACUGGCACCAGUACUGGAUCUGCUCCAGGAAGUGCUGCACAGAUGCAGAAUGGUUUUUAAAGUCAUAAAGGCUCAAAGGAACUCGAGCAGCUCAGAUUCCUCUAGCCACAGAACUGAAAUGUCCAUUGGACAUCACAUUACCUAAGCUGAUGGAUUUUCAGCAGAGAUUCAGCUUUUCUUAAAGAAACAAGAUCUGGGAUACCUCACUUUCACCUGCUGGGUGGGAGAAGGCAAUUUAUGACAAUGAAAUAAUGAAGUUAGACAGAGCUUUGCACCCCCAAAUCUCAAUCAAUCCCAAGGACAUGGUUUUAAUCUUGGAAGAUCCAAGUGGAUGUGGGCAGCACAAGCCACACAUCUAAGCUUUGUUGUCUUGAUUCUUAGUCAGCCUUUGGAUAUGUCAACAGAGGGGCUUGGGCCUGUGAGUCCUGGGGUUUUUAUCCUCUCUUCUGUAUAUUUAUAGCACAAACAGCCAGAGAAGUUUGCAAAGGUCUUUUUGACCUGCUAGGAGCCAGGCUGCAGCUUUGGAGAGAAGGGUGAUGUGAGGCACCUGAACUUUCUCCCGAGCUAAGCCACCAACUCAUCCCCCAGCCCCAGCACACGCUUCCCAUCACUCCUGAGGAUUGAUGACACCUCAUGUCUUGUCCCUUCCAGUCUGUACCUCUGUUGUACCCUCUGUAAAUUGGCCAGACUUUCCUACCUCGUUUGGGCAUUAUGAGGCAGAAUUCCGUAGGAUGCUUUGCAGCCCCGUGAUGAAAGGUGCUAUAUAACUGCAAAGUGUUACUUCAGAAGAUGUAACUCGGUCACCAGUGCAUCAUAACCUAUAUUAAACAGACAUUUUCUUAUACGAGAAUUUAUAGAGUUCAAUGUAUGGUAUUAAUAAGUGAAUUAUUGAGACCAUCAGAA